rnacentral:rRNA from 1 species
UACAGAGGUCUCGAGCGUUGUCCGGAUUUAUUGGGCGUAAAGAGCUCGUAGGCGGUCUGUCGCGUCUGCUGUGAAAUCUCAGGGCUUAACCCUGGGCUUGCAGUGGGUACGGGCAGACUAGAGUGCGGUAGGGGAGACUGGAAUUCCAGGUGUAGCGGUGAAAUGACGUAGGAUAAUCUGGAGGAACACCGGUGGACGAAGGCGGGUCUGAGCUGG